AAGAUGGCUCAUUUUGGUCUCACAAGGACAGGGAACUGUGAGGCCAGGGAACUGUGAGGCCAGGGAACUGUGAGGACUGGGAACUGUGAAGACUGGGAACUGUGAGGACAGGGAACUGUGAGGACAGGGAACUGUGAGGCCAGGGAACCGUGAAGACAGGGAACCGUGAGGACAGGGAACCGUGAGGACAGGGAACCGUGAAGACAGGGAACCGUGAAGACUGGGAACCGUGAAGACAGGGAACCGUGAGGACAGGGAACCGUGAGGACAGGGAACCGUGAGGACAGGGAACCGUGAGGACAGGGAACUGUGAGGACAGGAAACUGUGAAGACAGGGAACUGUGAAGACUUCUCCUCUCUUAACAGGUGAAAGAGGAGGAAAUCACAACACGUGAUUUUCCCAGAGCAGAACAGAGGGCCUGAGCGUUGUCACAGGAGGCGUGGGAAAGAGCCAUUCUUUACACAGGACCUGGGGCUGCUCACCCUAGGCUGGAUCCACGUAAGCAAAUCUGACCUUCCUGAGGGCGGGCCUCCUCUUCUCUGUCUCUUAGAAGAACACUGGCCAAGUCUUUCUCUCAGCAGAGUCAAGUCAUUCUGUCUCUUUUGUCUCUGAGCACACACGACUGCUUGUGUCCCAACGUUGAGGGCUUUAAAAACACAUCUAAACUUUAUCUGUUAUUAAAAGUAAUUCUUCAGAGUUUCAGUUCCUUUUGAGGCUGGGGCCAAAGUCAGCUGUCAUAGGACAGAUACGGACAUGCUCCAGAGACCGUGUGCCUAAAAGCUGCAUAUAUGACACAUUUAAAUAAGCCAGGAGAGCUCAUUCUGGUGAUUGCAUUUUCUUCUUCAUGGCGAGCACUUGACAAAGAGCUCCUCGGUCAUAUUUUCAAGUGUUUGCACAUGUGCGCACACUUCUGAUGAUCUUCAAGGAAACACAGUUCCUUUCCUAGAGAGUGCUUCUGAGUGUUUUUCUUGUUUCAAGACCCGAAACUCAGAGAACAAGCUGCUUUUCUUGGCUGUGACAGCUGUAGCCACAAUCAGGUGGUUUAUUUCUACACUUGGAGAGAUCACAGACACUUGAACUCAGGUUCAGGAAGUGCUGAGCUGGGAGGCAGGCUCCUGGGCCUUCAUCCUUCUCUGUUAAAGUGUAUAAAUUCUUACCGGUCUGCCUGUCGUGCCUGGGGACACAAAUGGGAGAUCACACAGAGAAUGAGCACCUGUUCACAUGAGGCACCUGUACUAUAGUCUUCCGGAGGGCAGAACAACGACAUGACCUGAGCAGACUCCAGAUGUUCAAAUGAAGGGGCUGCAAGGUUGGUUGAGACGGGGAGGUCAGCAUUGACUCAUCUGAACAGUCCUAAUUCCUUGCUUGACUCUUCCUUCUUCCCACUCAUUUCUGCGUUGAGUUCCCGCCCCAUCCGGGCACCGUGCAAGAACGGCGUCUAGAGAGACGGUGACAGAAAGAGCAGGGAGACAUUGAUGAGAAGACAACAGAGGAGGAAGAAGAGGAAGGAAGGAGAAACGGAGCAGGAACUGGAGUUCUCACACUGACACCUUUUGGAGUGGAAGAAAUGUCGUUCUGCCCACGAGGGGUUCCAUCUCCAUGAACAGGACACACCUCUCUUCUGUGUAUGAUCUAUUACAAGAAAUCACAGCCAUGUUUGCAGGCAGGACACAGAGCUGAUCAUUCCCGUCCUUUCUGACCCACUUGGGAGUUCAGCCUCAGUACUCUCCUGUAGAUGUAACCAAUCAUCUUAUUAAAAUAAGAAACACAGAGCCAAUGUAAAAGAGAAAGCCGAGAGGU